ACUUUGCCCUCGCUGCCCCCUGCCCUUUUUCUUGCGGGCAGGCAGGGGCAGCGCCAAGCUCGGCCCAUUGCGGGCCCAAGGGAUCCUCCGCCCGGCCGCGCUGCUGCUGCAGGCUUUGCCCUAGGGGCUGCAGGGGAGGCGAGAAUGGAGCUGCGAGAGCAGAGCUGCUUCGGCCGAGGGCAGAGUGGGGCGAGGUGGAGCAGCGGCCGCUGGGGGCAGAAUUCUCAUGGACAGACUGGCUGCUGAUGGCUUGGAUGAGUCUCUGGACAGAGCAAACAAUAUGGCUCAGCUCAGGUGCAGCAAGCAGAGAACCAUUGCUGUAGCUUUCCAUUGCCCACACCUGUGCUGGCAGCUCUGUUUCAUUGGUGAGCCACAGCAAGCAUCAUUCUGCCAGCACUGAGCUGCCCCUGUGAAGACAGGCACCAAGGUUUCUGCACCUCCUCUUGCAGAGGAACCCACCUGGAGUCUGACAAAACCUAACAAGUGAAAGUGGAAAGAAAAUGAAAGCCACACCAUGGUGUGCUAAUAGCCAACUGCAGUGUCUUGCCAUGAAGAGCAGGACAUGGCAAGGUGGGAACUUGGAAUGACCUUCUACAGCUGAUCAGGCAACAGAAGGAAGGUGAUGGUGAUGGUCUGGGGCUUGCCUGCUCCCCUGUCCAUACAAUGAAAUCACCUGUGCUGGGCUCAGGCUGGAAGAAAUGAAGCUCUAUUUACAUGCAUAUAUGUGUGCAUAAAUAAUGACAGUUAUGUGCAAGUUCAAAGUCACACAGAAGCACUCACUCUCUCCCAACACAGUCAGAGUUGCUAGCAUUCAAACCUCCUUCCCCCCUCAUUUUCCUCCCUGUCAGUAAUAACCAGAUCAAUCCCUGCAUGUUUCACAUAAUAAAUGUGGGGAAAUCUGAGAUGAGAUGUCCAAAAGAUAACCCUUUAUUGCCCCUAACUCCCCUGUUAGGUGGGAUUAGAGUCAAGGCAGAGGCAACCAGCACAGUGAUGCAAACCUCCUUGUGCAAAAUCAAAGAUGUUAAUGGAUGAACUUAGUUCAAAAACAACAUCUUCUGUCCCCACACAGAGACAAAAGCCACAGUUGAUUAAAAAACCCCAAUCUCCUGUGUGUGGCAGACCACAGCCAGAGUUCAAUCUUUUUUCUGGGGUAGGGAUUGGAGUUUUCCUCUAAACAAAAUGUUAUUACUCACAUGCAGUCUGCAGUCCUUUCUUGGUCAAGGAUGAAAAUGCUUUAGGAAAGAGUUGUGCAGGUACAUGUAGGAACAGCCCUUCAGAAAAAGCCUGCAGCAAACCUGAUACCAAAAUGAUUCUGACUCUUCCCCAGGUCUAGCUCUCUGUUUCUUCCUAGGACUAAUAAAUGAUUGCAAAGGUCUUUAUUUUAA